rnacentral:rRNA from 1 species
AGGGUUUGAUCCUGGCUCAGGAUGAACGCUGGCGGCGUGCUUAACACAUGCAAGUCGAGCGAAGCACUUUGCUUUGAUUUCUUCGGGAUGAAGAGCUUAGUGACUGAGCGGCGGACGGGUGAGUAACGCGUGGGUAACCUGCCUCAUACAGGGGGAUAACAGUUAGAAAUGACUGCUAAUACCGCAUAAGACCACAGCACCGCAUGGUGCAGGGGUAAAAACUCCGGUGGUAUGAGAUGGACCCGCGUCUGAUUAGUUAGUUGGUGGGGUAACGGCCUACCAAGGCGACGAUCAGUAGCCGACCUGAGAGGGUGACCGGCCACAUUGGGACUGAGACACGGCCCAA